UAAGAGCCCCACGUAAGGACACCUGUGGCUAUGAAAAAAAACGGAAGUCUUUAUUCUCUUCUCUUCCUCUCUUCGUCUGUAUCUCUUCCUCUCUGUCUCUCUCCCUAUCGCCGAUAACGGACUUCUCCUUCCUCAGAUCAUAUGCUCCGGCGUUGUUUUUUACAGCAAGCUAAAGAAUAAAGAUCGCGGCUUUGAUGAAUCUGAAGCUGAUGAGUAUCGAGAGCAGAAGGAAAGACAAGGACUUUGAGAAUUUCGUGGGGUUGCAGCUUGGUGGUGGAUAUCGUGACAAAGGACCUCCAAGCGAAGUCGUUGAAGUUGCAACCUUUCUCCAUGCUUGUGAGGGUGAUGCUGUGACCAAGCUCUGCCAAGAGAAGAUCCCUUACUUAAAUGCCCCGAUCUACCUGCAACACAAGACUCAGAUUGGGAAAGUAGAUGAGAUCUUUGGUCCCAUUAAUGAAUCUUAUCGUAGCUACCUCAUACGCUGAAGGGGACAAGUUCUACAUCGACCAUGCAAAGCUAUUACCUCUAGCAAGAUUCCUUCCUCAACUAAAGUAAGCUUGAAGAUCAGUAAGUCGUUUUUCAGGUUCUUUGUUAUGAGGUUAAAGCUGAAGCCUUUCACUGUUAUGCCACUAUAGCUGUCAAAUGGUCCGUCCAUGGUCCAAAUGGGCAUGACCAGUUGGACCAUUUCAGUUUUGGGCACUAAUGGGUGGUUCAUAUUGGACAAUGGUCCAAACAAAUGUCCAAGACCAAUAGAGACCAUGUCCAAAUGGGCAUGCCCAUGGACACUCAAUAAAAUUUAUAAUUAUUUUUUAAUUAUUAGUUUAGAUCUUAUUUCUAAAAUUUUGAAAUUAUGUUUACUUUCCAAAAUUAUAAAAGUAUUUUUUUCUUGUCAAAACUGUAAAAUUAUGUUUUCCUUUCAAAAUCGAGAAAUUUCAUUUUUCCGUCGAAACCGAGAAAUUGCGUUUUUCCGCCAAAACCAGAAAUUGCGUUUUCCCGCCAAAACCGAAAAUUGCGUUUUCCCGCCAAAACCGAGAAAUUACGCUUUCCCACAGAAACCGAGAAAUUGUGUUUUCCCGCCAAAAUCGAGAAAUUGUGUUUUCCCGCUAAAACCGAGAAAUUACGUUUUCCCGCCAAAACCGAAAAAUUGUGGUUUCCCACCAAAUUAAUGAAAUACAUUUUUCCGUCAAAAUUGUGAAAUUAUGUUUUCCGUCAAAAUCGUGAAUUUUUUAUUUUAACGAUAAAACUAUUGUUUUGGGUUAAAUUGUAAAGUUAUGUUUUCUUUUGUUAAACUCAUAAAAACAUGUUUUAGGAAGCUCAUGGACACACAUUGUCCAUUUGGUCUUCGCCCAAUUGGACCAUGUACCAAUUGGGCUUUUGUCCAGUUUGACCAUUUAUUAAUUGGGCACGUCCAUAGUCCGCCCAAAAUGAAUUGGACUGGGCUAGCCCAUGGUCAGCCCGCCCAGUUGACACCUCUAUAUGCCACCGUGGAUUUGAGGGUUUCAAGAAGGAGAUAUCUGGUUUCUUGUUCGCUUGGCGUUUUGGUAGAUACGCUUACUGGUUUGGUAUUAGCUGUUGAUGGUUUUGUUGCUAUUGUGGAGCCAAGAAGAAGGGGAAGGGAGAUUAUGCAAGGAAGGUUUUGUAUUUGGUAUAUCUUCUGUUGUAUCAGGUUGUGCAGCUCUCAAGUGUUUAGAAGCCAAAGUUGUCAAAGACUAGGUUCCUCUGGUUUUAGUGUUACAGUUGAUUGAUAUGAUUGGCAACCAUUACUUGUAAGCUGUGAAAGAGAGGAAGCACGAUACAAGAGAGAUUCCGGUCGUGCGUACUGCCACUUGGCUUUCCACCCGACAAUGAUUUGGCAGAUGUUUUGUUUUGUGUUAUCUUUCUAGCAGAAAGGCCAUAAUCAUUGACUGAAAAGUGUGGCCAAGGGCGUUUGUGUCUUCUUACCAAAAUCACACUUGUUUCAAAGGGUUUUUAAGGAGAUCUUAAGCCUUUCUUGAUGAUUGACUCAUAGUCUCAUACCACAAAAAAGGAAGAACUAGCAAUCUUGUCAUAGUUUCUCCAUAUCAAUCUUCUUGACUUUAUAGUAGUCAGGCCCUUUCCAAAGCCAAAAGGCCAUUUAUUUUGGUCAGGGUUUUAGUUCUCGGCUACUGUUGUUACAUCUAAAUCUAAAG